rnacentral:rRNA from 1 species
CCUACGGGUGGCAGCAGUGAGGAAUAUUGGUCAAUGGACGAGAGUCUGAACCAGCCAAGUAGCGUGAAGGAUGACUGCCCUAUGGGUUGUAAACUUCUUUUAUAUGGGAAUAAAAUGUUCCACGUGUGGGCUUUUGUAUGUACCCUAUGAAUAAGGAUCGGCUAACUCCGUGCCAGCAGCCGCGGUAAUACGGAGGAUCCGAGCGUUAUCCGGAUUUAUUGGGGUUAAAGGGAGCGUAGGUGGAUAGGUAAGGCAGUUGUGAAAGUUUGCGGCUCAAACGUAAAAUUGCAGUUGAAACUGGCGGUCUUGAGUACAGUAGAGGUGGGCGGAAUGCGUGGUGUAGCGGUGAAAUGCUUAGAUAUCACGAAGAACUCCGAUUGCGAAGGCAGCUCACUGGACUGCAACUGACACUGAGGCUCGAAAGUGUGGGUAUCAAACAGGAUUAGAUACCCGUGUAGUC